rnacentral:rRNA from 1 species
AUGAACGCUUGCGGCGUGCCUAAUACAUGCAAGUCGAGCGCACAGAUGAGGAGCUUGCUCCUCUGACGUUAGCGGCGGACGGGUGAGUAACACGUGGAUAACCUACCUAUAAGACUGGGAUAACUUCGGGAAACCGGAGCUAAUACCGGAUAAUAUAUUGAACCGCAUGGUUCAAUAGUGAAAGACGGUUUUGCUGUCACUUAUAGAUGGAUCCGCGCCGCAUUAGCUAGUUGGUAAGGUAACGGCUUACCAAGGCAACGAUGCGUAGCCGACCUGAGAGGGUGAUCGGCCACACUGGAACUGAGACACGGUCCAGACUCCUACGGGAGGCAGCAGUAGGGAAUCUUCCGCAAUGGGCGAAAGCCUGACGGAGCAACGCCGCGUGAGUGAUGAAGGUCUUCGGAUCGUAAAACUCUGUUAUUAGGGAAGAACAAAUGUGUAAGUAACUAUGCACGUCUUGACGGUACCUAAUCAGAAAGCCACGGCUAACUACGUG